rnacentral:lncRNA from 1 species
GUAACUAUACAAGUGGAAAAUAAGGAGUGAUAUGUGUCUUAAAAAUUUUAAAGAUAAAAGAAAAUUUUAAAACAGUCUAAAUUUAAAAUUAACAGAAACGUUAAACAUUUGAAAAAUGAGAGUGAAAUAAUUCAGUAUGGAUGAUACAAGAAAUAUUUUUAUUUUGAAACUUAACUAAAUACAUGAUUUAUUUCCACAUCACUCUCCCUCCCCAAUUCCCCCAAGUAAAAAAAAAAAAAACUUUUUACUACAAAAAAAUAAGGUUUCGAUCUUUAAUAAAUUUUCAGUUUUUUUUUUAAAAGAAAUUUUAUAUCCACGCAAUCUCUCAUUUUUCUCAUGUAUGUAUAUCAUAUGAGAGCC